AGAGUUUGAUCCUGGACUCAGGACGAACGCUGGCGGCGUGCCUAAUACAUGCAAGUCGAACGCUUCUUUUUCCACCGGAGCUUGCUCCACCGGAAAAAGAGGAGUGGCGAACGGGUGAGUAACACGUGGGUAACCUGCCCAUCAGAAGGGGAUAACACUUGGAAACAGGUGCUAAUACCGUAUAACAAUCAAAACCGCAUGGUUUUGAUUUGAAAGGCGCUUUCGGGUGUCGCUGAUGGAUGGACCCGCGGUGCAUUAGCUAGUUGGUGAGGUAACGGCUCACCAAGGCCACGAUGCAUAGCCGACCUGAGAGGGUGAUCGGCCACAUUGGGACUGAGACACGGCCCAAACUCCUACGGGAGGCAGCAGUAGGGAAUCUUCGGCAAUGGACGAAAGUCUGACCGAGCAACGCCGCGUGAGUGAAGAAGGUUUUCGGAUCGUAAAACUCUGUUGUUAGAGAAGAACAAGGAUGAGAGUAACUGUUCAUCCCUUGACGGUAUCUAACCAGAAAGCCACGGCUAACUACGUGCCAGCAGCCGCGGUAAUACGUAGGUGGCAAGCGUUGUCCGGAUUUAUUGGGCGUAAAGCGAGCGCAGGCGGUUUCUUAAGUCUGAUGUGAAAGCCCCCGGCUCAACCGGGGAGGGUCAUUGGAAACUGGGAGACUUGAGUGCAGAAGAGGAGAGCGGAAUUCCAUGUGUAGCGGUGAAAUGCGUAGAUAUAUGGAGGAACACCAGUGGCGAAGGCGGCUCUCUGGU
rnacentral:rRNA from 1 species